rnacentral:misc_RNA from 1 species
UCCUGUGUUGCUGGCCUAACGUGAUGGAAAUUGAUCCCGGAUGAGUCCUAAUUUUUGUCUCUUACCACUUUGUGGUGUUAGGUCAACGUGGAAGUAUUGCUCGCUCUCCUUGAAUGCUUCGCACUUUCGCAUUGCAAUCAUGGCCCAUGGGUAGCUACCAUUAGUUCCCUCGGAUGCAGAACUUUUGAAGGGUGCACAACAUGUUGCCGUUGCUUACCCACAAAGUGUUCAUGUCUCGAUGCAUACGAUGGCUGUGCAAGCCUUGGUCCCCGUCUUUAACAAGUUAGGACGGGGCUCAUGCGGUGCUGGUGUCGCGGAGGAAUGCUACUCAGUUGAUCCUACCAGUAGUCAUAUGCUUGUCUCAA